UCUUGUUAAUUUGUUAAUUCAGUUCAGUCUGUUGAGCAAUAUAAAAAGUGUCGCGUUAUAUUUUUUAUAAAAGUUGUGUUUAAAAGUGUAAAAAAGCGUGUAAAUAUGUUGCAGAGGACUGCUCUAAUUUUAAACCGUGCUCGAGAAAUAACAAACGAGGAGAAGGUAAGUUAUUUUGUAUUGUAAAAAUUACCAGACAUUAUUUUUGAGGUGUAAAUUAAAAACUUAAAUUUUUACAGUAGUUUUGUUUAUCUUUAUUUACUUUAUUUAUAGGAAGAAGGUAUUCGGCAAGAAACAAGUUCGCUUCAGACUUAUACCAACUUAGAACCGUUACAGGAAGUUGAUUUUAACUCAGCAACAGAUAUUAGUGAGAAAGAAAGUACUCAUACAGCAGCUGUUUCCCCAAAGACUUACAGCGAUUUACAAACGGUUCGGGAAGUGGAAUUUAAUCUAAAAUUACCAGACAUAAUUUAUGAGGAAGGAAGUAAUUCGGAUGGAUAUUCAAACAAGGAAAAUGAAAUAGGUGACGUAAGAGUAAUGGAUGAUAAUCAAAAUCAAGAAGAAGACUGACAGUCGGGUCGGAAAGAAUAUCGUCAAGAUUUAAAUUUUGUCAACAGAGAUAUUAAUGAAGAUAACAAUAUAGUAGAGAUGGAGCAAUCCGAUAAAGGAGAAAAUGAUGGGGAAAAGAAUGGCGUAAAAUCUAAAGAAAAAAAAUAUCAGGGCCGUCCAAAAAAAGGGAGAAAGAGAAAGUUCCCUAGUCAGAAUAGAGAAAUCCGCAAAAAACACUGCAUUCAAAAUAAAUCAUACUUUACACAAAAAGGAGAAAUGAAACUAAAAAAAGAGUUUCGUCAGUAUUUGUGCAAAUGCGACUGUCUAUCGAAAGUUGGCAUUGAAAAUGCUAAACAAGAAUACGACAAAUUUUAUGAAGUAAGUUCGCAUGAUGCUCAACGUGCCUUAAUUUGCGCCAUGGUUCAAGAAGGUCCAAUAAAAAGAAAAAGAAAACAAAAUUCUACUAAAAAAAUGCACUCCAGGGUGUACAAUAUUAAUGGCCACGUAGUUUGCAAAACAUUUCUGUUGCAAACCCUAAGAAUUUCGAGUGCAAAAGUGGAUAAUGCCUUAAAAUCAAAAAAAAGGAUAGAAGGAGUUAAAGACU